rnacentral:lncRNA from 1 species
GGAUAGAUAGAUAGAUAAACAACCUUUGUCGAAACCAUUUUCAUUGUUGUAUAAUAUUUUAUUAUAUGUUUAUAGCAGAAUUAUGUAUUCUUUUCACUGGAAACACAUUGUUAUACUUACCGAAGCAUCGGUUAUAUCACUAGAAGAACUGCCUUCAUUUCUGAGUGCCACAUUCUGCAUGGGAUAAUAACAAACUGAAACUCACUUUGGGAAGGGCAAACCAGGACAGAUAAUAGACUCAAAUCAUUUCUCAUGAAGGUCCAUGGAAGGAACUGGAAUGAUUAAUCAAGAGACGAGAAGCUUCAGGACAUACAUGGAAGAUAUCUUCAAAGACAGAAUGUACAAUCACCUUGAAGAGAAAUUAAUCUUAUUGUAUUUUUCCCCAAGGUGUUGAACUGAGGCAAAUGGAUCCAAACAAUUUCAACGGGUAAAGUGCUGCAGUGACCUCACCUCUCUGUGUGUCCUUUUCCUCGAAGAUCUGGAACCUGAUAAUCUUCGAUCUUAGUAGUGCUCCAAAGUCUUCAAACAAAUGUUUCCUUAAAAUACAUUCAUCAAAAACCAUGGAUGUGUUCAUGGAUUUCUUGCCUAUGGUUCAGCCCAGGACUUAUUUUCAUCCAUCCUCUUCAAAGCAGGGAAUACAUGAAACUUUUCGGAACACCUAGAAGCCAAGAACAUGAAUGGAGUUUUCAGUUCAAUCCCAAGUAUGAAUUUAUCGAACUCCAUCUUUAAAGCCGGAUGAAUCUCUCGGCUGCCCUCUUCAUCAGAACUUCAGGUUAGGAGCUGUGGAUCCAGAAUCACCUUCUCCACACAGUUCCACGUCAGCAUUGCCACGAAAAGAACUCUCACGACAUUUGGAGAAUGGAGAUUGAAGCAGAAGCCACAAACUGGGGAGGUCAUGAAGGUGAGACACAAUGGCUUCAUAAACCUCUCCAUGAGCUCCUAGCUUGACCCCUAGACGUGGCGGUUCCUCAGACUCUCCAGUGAGCACUGGUUUCCCUACCUGCCUCACUGCUUCAGGCAGAAGUCAUCUGUGGCUGUUUCUGCCAUCCUCUGCCUGCAGCCUUCUAGACCUCUCUCCCUCAGCUCCUCUGACAAUCGCAGAAGCCCCGAUUCCUGUCAAGCUUGCAAAGGCUCUCUUGUCCUGACUAAAUUCAGGUUGAGACACGAGGCUCAAAUGACAAUACAUG